GAUGAACGCUAGCGAUAGGCUUAACACAUGCAAGUCGAGGGGCAGCAUUAUUUUAGCUUGCUAAGAUAGAUGGCGACCGGCGCACGGGUGCGUAACGCGUAUGCGACCUGCCUGUAAUUAGGGAAUAACCCGGUGAAAGUCGGACUAAUACCCUAUAUUCUUCUUUCUCCGCAUGGAGGAGGACGGAAAGAUUUAUUGAUUACAGAUGGGCAUGCGUCCCAUUAGCUAGUUGGUAAGGUAACGGCUUACCAAGGCAACGAUGGGUAGGGGGACUGAGAGGUUGACCCCCCACACUGGUACUGAGACACGGACCAGACUCCUACGGGAGGCAGCAGUGAGGAAUAUUGGUCAAUGGGCGAGAGCCUGAACCAGCCAAGUCGCGUGAAGGACGACGGUUCUAUGGAUUGUAAACUUCUUUUGUAGAGGAAUAACGGCAGCUACGUGUAGCUGAGACGCAUGUACU
rnacentral:rRNA from 1 species